CUUCCCAGUGAAUUCCCGUUCCUAUGAUGUUGUGCUCACCUUUGUAUUUCCCUUUUGAGUCGAAGACUGAGUGUUUUAGUUUUGGGAAGAGGCAUACACAGAUGCCAGUUUUGCCAGUUCUUAACCAGCAAAAUGAUCUUAAUGACUGUGUUUCUUUUCCAGGAGUAAUGUGAUAUUGAUGGUUUCACCUUCCUUGCUGAAGAGUUUACUUUGGGAUAUUUUUAUAUUUUCUAACACACUUUUACAAAUAAAUGCAAAAAUGAGAAUAAAAUCUCUAAUGAAAAGCAUUAAUGUGCUGUAUCUUAUCUAUGAAUCAAGAAAAUUUCUUGUCAGAGUUUUUGGGAUGAAGGACAAUUCCCUGAGAUGUUUAUUAAAAAGGAAGUCAGAAGUUUUUCUGCCAGCAUCUGCACUAAACAUUUAA
rnacentral:lncRNA from 1 species